CACACACAGACACACACACUCACAGUAGAGAGCUGCCCACCCAACCAGGCCCUGGAAGAGAGAGCAUGCUGCCCACCUGGUCUCUCUGCUCCAUUGUGUGGCUGAACAGGGGCUUCAAGCUGAGGUUCAAGCUGAGGAAAGGGCCUUUCUGCCGCAGCCCCGGCCCGGUGUGAACCCUAACCCUCCCCAGGUCCCCUCCCCACGCCCCUGCCACCCCCAAGACCGCCAUGCUCAUGAGCUCUGGCUGAUGAACAACUCCGCCCCAGUUCCAUUUUCCUCCAUUUUCUUCGUCCGUGUUCUUCUGCGCCCCAUGUUCGUCUGAACAAAAUGGCCGCCGAGGGGCUGCAGUGCCUGACGGACAGCAGGGCGGCGCUGCGGAGCCCGAGCGCCCAGGAGGGGGAGGGGCCGAACGGCCAGUUCCCCAACGCCUACGUCCAAUAUCUGGGGCCCGAGAUGAUGUCACCGCCACCGCCGUCCAAUCAGCCCCUGCUGCCCCAGAGUCCUCUUCCAUUGGCUCCCAGACCAGCCCCGCCCCCUCUACAUAAAGCCGUUUCCCUCCUGGAGCUGACAGAGCGGUCGCCCAACCCUGUGCUGAGGCUGGUGGAGACGCUGGAGAAGCAGGACGGGGGAGAGGAGGGUGUCUCUGGGUGGCUCUGUGGGGCGUUGGAGCUGCCCGCCCCGCCCCUGCAGAACCUGCUGACGCUGCGGUACCUGCUCCGGUACCUGGGCCAGGUGUGCCACCCCCCGCCACCACACAGCCCCGCCCCCGCCUCUGGGGCGGGGCCUAACGCUGACAGUGUGGAGGCGGAGCUGAGACCUCCAGCUCUUUCUCCAAAACCCCCCAGGAGCAAAGUCGCGACCCCCCCGGCCGUCGCCAACGGCAACAGCGCUGGGCUGAGUGAAGUGGAGUGGUACUGGGGCGACAUCUCCAGAGAGGAAGUGAACGAGAAGCUGAGAGACGCCCCCGACGGCAGCUUCCUGGUCCGAGACGCUUCCAGCAGAGUGCAAGGAGAAUACACACUCACUCUACGGAAAGGGGGCAGUAAUAAGUUGAUAAAGAUCUUCCACCGCGGGGGGCGUUAUGGAUUCUCUGAGCCGCUGCCGUUCCUGUCGGUGGAGGAGCUGAUUGGUCAUUACCGCCAGCGGUCUCUGGCGCACUGCAACGCCCAGCUGGACACGCGGCUGCUCUACGCCGUCUCCAAACACGCCCCUCUAACCACAUCCUCCAAUCACAGUUUCACACUCAAACACCUGCAGGAGAAGAGAGUAGAGGAAGUGGGAGAGCAGUACCAGGAGAAGAGCCAGGAGAACGACCUUCUGUAUGAGGAGCACACCCCAACAGCGCAGGAGCUGCAGAUCAAGCGCACGGCCAUCGAGGCCUUCAGUGAGGCCAUCAGGAUCGACCAGGAGCAGUGUGAGACGCAGGACUGCCACGGCCAGGAGACUCAGCGCCUCUGCCCUGUGAUGACUGAGGAGGAGGAGGAGGCUCUUCCUCACGCUGACGAGCUCACCUGGUUUGUUGGGAACGUCAAGCGCUCAGAGGCUGAGGAGCUGCUGAGGGGGCGGGGCCACGGGACCUUCCUCGUCCGUGACAGCCAAUCACAGAAGGGCUCCUUCGCCUGCUCCGUGGUAGUGGAUGGCGAGGUGAAGCACUGUGUGAUCUGUAGGACAGUGACGGGGUAUGGCUUUGCGGAGCCCUAUAACCUGUACAGCUCUCUGAAGGAGCUGGUGCUGCACUAUCGCAGCCGGUCCCUGGUGCAGCACAACCGCACUCUGAAUGUGACCCUGUCCUGCCCCGUCUUCAGCCAGCACAACCACAACUACAGCCGCAGCAACUCCAACAGCCCCUGAGAACUACACUACCCAUGAGCCUCUGUGUUCUACUGUUUUACAGCCCCUGAGAACUAUACUACCCACAAGCAUCUGGUCUACAGCCCCUGAGAACUACAGUACCCACAAGCCUCUGUUCUACAGCCCCUGAGAACUACACUACCCUCAAGCCUCUGUUCUACAGACCCUGAGAACUACACUACCCUCAAGCCUGUGGUCUACAGCCCCUGAGAACUACACUACCCAUGAGCCUCUGUGUUCUACAGCCCCUGAGAACUACAAUACCCACAAGCCUCUGUGUUCUGCAACCCCUGUGAACUACACCACCCCAUGAGCCACAGGGUUCUACAGUCCAUAGGAACAACACUACCCAUGAGCCUCUGCGUUCUGCACAAAUAAGCACAUGUGAUUCUGAAGCCCUCUGGUGUGGUCCCUGUUCCAGGAAACCCACCAAUCAGCUUCAGAGAGGGGACCAAAUAGACAGGUGGCCACUGAUGAACAGGUGGGGUACCAGGUCGGGUGUUUUGGAGAGCCUCUGCAGUUUUGAAGGGGCCGUUAAUUUUAGGCUCCUCGAUAAAAGCCUGUUGUACUGAGCCUAGUAAGCGGGUGGUUCUCACUGUGUUGAACAAGCCCUCGGAGAGAGAGAGAGAGGGAGAGAGAAGGAGAGAGAGAGGGAGAGAGAGAGGGGGGGGAGAGAGGGAGAGAGAGAGACGGACUGAAAAUCAGAGAUAUAGACAUUAAUAUUAUUUUAUUUCAUGCCAUGUCGCUGUUUUUUAUUUGUACUUGUCUGACUGGUGGACAGGAAGCUGAUGGAGCUAUUUCCCGUAACAAGAUGUGAUGCCCCUGUGGGCCUCUUGUUCUAUGGUGUUGAAGCUGUGUGGGCUGUCCCCCUAGAAUUAACUAAUAGUUUUAGUUAAUCCGCUGUCUGUAGAGACGAAGGCAAUUGUCAGGUAGGAUUUUAAAAAUGUAUUUUCCGGUGCCCACACGGAGCCAUAGCUUAGCAGCUAGCUGGACCAGAAGCUGCUGACCUUUGACCUUUUCUCUAUGACCUUCAUGCCUUUUGCUUCCUUGAAACACUUCCUCUCAUAGAUUAUUCACUGAACUGUAGUUAUCAAAGUAUAGAACAAUGGUUAUGCAGCAAGUACAGAGCGGUUAGGCCAUCUGAGUGACAGGUGGAGUGCCAGGGGCCUGAUGGGAAUUUGCCUGCUUCCUGUUUCCUGCUUCCUGUGAUGUUUUAAGUCCGGCUGAAAUCUGCUGCAUGGGGUCAGGAGAGAGACAACCAAUCAAAACUUGAAUCUUGGGUCAUGUGACAGGUGGACAGGGGUUGGGGAUGGGAGUAUGGUCUUAUCUGAAUAGGCACUGAUGGAGGUUCUAAUCACUGGCACCAUUUCAUAAAAGGCUUGGCCUGCCAGCACUUGUGUCGCUCAUUUUGGAUUGAAGCUGAAAUUACAGGGAUGACAAAAAUGAGGGGGCUUUAAAGAUGAUUUUUUGAUGAAAGUUUACUUGAGGGCCGGUAUAAUUACGGUAGCUGUCCAUGCGGCCCGUACUGUUUGCACUUUUCUGGGGAGCCGGAGAAUCCAAUGCCAGAGCCGUCAGAAGUGCCUUCUGUCAUUGGCUGUCAUUUCUCUCCCGUCUCAUCGUUUCA